rnacentral:rRNA from 1 species
CCUACGGGUGGCAGCAGUGAGGAAUAUUGGUCAAUGGCCGAGAGGCUGAACCAGUCAAGUCGCGUGAGGGAAGAAUGUCCUAUGGAUUGUAAACCUCUUUUGUCAGGGAGCAAAGUCACCCACGUGUGGGUGUUGGAGAGUACCUGAAGAAAAAGCAUCGGCUAACUCCGUGCCAGCAGCCGCGGUAAUACGGAGGAUGCGAGCGUUAUCCGGAUUUAUUGGGUUUAAAGGGUGCGUAGGCGGGUUAUCAAGUCAGCGGUAAAAUCGUGGAGCUCAACCAUAAAAUUGCCGUUGAAACUGGAAGACUUGAGUGUGUUUGAGGUAGGCGGAAUGCGUGGUGUAGCGGUGAAAUGCAUAGAUAUCACGCAGAACUCCGAUUGCGAAGGCAGCUUACUAAGCCAUAACUGACACUGAAGCACGAAAGCGUGGGGAUCAAACAGGAUUAGAUACCCUAGUAGUC